rnacentral:rRNA from 1 species
UGGGGAAUAUUGGACAAUGGGCGCAAGCCUGAUCCAGCAAUGCCGCGUGUGUGAAGAAGGCCUGCGGGUUGUAAAGCACUUUCAGUAGAGAAGAAAAGCUUACGGUUAAUACCCGUGAGUCUUGACGUAACCUACAGAAGAGGCACCGGCUAACUCCGUGCCAGCAGCCGCGGUAAUACGGAGGGUGCGAGCGUUAAUCGGAAUUACUGGGCGUAAAGCGGGCGUAGGUGCUUUUGUAAGUCGGAUGUGAAAGCCCAGGGCUUAACCUUGGAAUUGCCUUCGAUACUGCAGAACUAGAGUAUGGUAGAGGGAAGUGGAAUUUCCGGUGUAGCGGUGAAAUGCGUAGAUAUCGGAAGGAACACCAGUGGCGAAGGCGACUUCCUGGGCCAAUACUGACACUGAGGUGCGAAAGCGUGGGGAGCAAACAGGAUUAGCUACCCCUGUAGUCC